rnacentral:rRNA from 1 species
GGCUCAGAACGAACGCUGGCGGCAGGCUUAACACAUGCAAGUCGAGCGCCCCGCAAGGGGAGCGGCAGACGGGUGAGUAACGCGUGGGAAUCUACCCUUGACUACGGAAUAACGCAGGGAAACUUGUGCUAAUACCGUAUGUGUCCUUCGGGAGAAAGAUUUAUCGGUCAAGGAUGAGCCCGCGUUGGAUUAGCUAGUUGGUGGGGUAAAGGCCUACCAAGGCGACGAUCCAUAGCUGGUCUGAGAGGAUGAUCAGCCACAUUGGGACUGAGACACGGCCCAAACUCCUACGGGAGGCAGCAGUGGGGAAUAUUGGACAAUGGGCGCAAGCCUGAUCCAGCCAUGCCGCGUGAGUGAUGAAGGCCCUAGGGUUGUAAAGCUCUU